rnacentral:rRNA from 1 species
UACGUAGGGUGCAAGCGUUACUCGGAAUUACUGGGCGUAAAGCGUGCAUAGGUGGUGCGUUAAGUCUGUCGUGAAAGCCCCGGGCUCAACCUGGGAAUGGCGAUGGAUACUGGCGCGCUAGAGUGCGGUAGAGGAGAGUGGAAUUCCCGGUGUAGCAGUGAAAUGCGUAGAGAUCGGGAGGAACAUCUGUGGCGAAGGCGGCCAUCUGGACCAGCACUGACACUGAGGCACGAAAGCGUGUGGAGCAAACAGG